rnacentral:rRNA from 1 species
AUUGAACGCUGGCGGCAUGCCUUACACAUGCAAGUCGAACGGUAACAGGUCUUCGGAUGCUGACGAGUGGCGAACGGGUGAGUAAUACAUCGGAACGUGCCUAGUAGUGGGGGAUAACUACUCGAAAGAGUGGCUAAUACCGCAUGAGAUCUACGGAUGAAAGCAGGGGAUCGCAAGACCUUGUGCUACUAGAGCGGCCGAUGGCAGAUUAGGUAGUUGGUGGGAUAAAAGCUUACCAAGCCGACGAUCUGUAGCUGGUCUGAGAGGACGAUCAGCCACAGUGGGACUGAGACACGGCCCAGACUCCUACGGGAGGCAGCAGUGGGGAAUGUUGGACAAUGGGCGCAAGCCUGAUCCAGCAAUGCCGCGUGCAGGAUGAAGGCCUUCGGGUUGUAAACUGCUUUUGUACGGAACGAAAAACCCUGGGUUAAUACCCUGGGGUCAUGACGGUACCGUAAGAAUAAGCACCGGCUAACUACGUGCCAGCCGCCGCCGUAA